UUGGUGAAAUAAAAUCCUGACCAUUUAAACUCAUUUUUUAACUGCUAACACAGCAGUUCACGGCAGUUUUUUAGCCUCCGCCUUUUCCUGCCAUGUUUUCCACAAAUCACGUUACCUACAAACUACAAAAAAUGGAUCGUGGGUUCAAUGCAGUUGUUGAACAGCCUUAUAUAAUGUAAACCCUUGAAUCAAAAAGGUCGUACCUUCAAUCGUUUGAUUUGUGGGUUAAUAUUGAUUUGAAGUCUUGAAGGUAAUGCGUCUAUAAUCCUGUUUAUUGCUCACUUGAUUGAUUCCCUCAAACAAACUUCUGAAAUCUGAUUAGUUUCUUCUAAUUGAAUCCUUCAAUAAUAUUUUCUUAUCUUCUGAAAUCCAUUGUGUUAAUUACUUGAUGGAAGUGUUGAAGGUAAUUUUCUGUCAUAAAUAGUUUCUGCCCUAAAUCGAUUUGCCCUAAUUAUGCCCUGCCCAAAAUCCUUCAAUAAUAUCUUCUGAAAUCCAUUGAUAGAUGUCAGGUAUGUUGAAAGUUUAAAUUUAUAACUGUUUUUUUUUUCAGUGCUAAUUUUGUUGUUCAAUGUCUGUGACUGUAGUUGGUUUUUCGGUUAGGAUGAUGAAGAAGAAUCCUUAGGCACGAAAAGAACGUGUGACCACAUUGGGAGGUGUUUUGUAAGAUACCAUUUGAUGGCCCUUUCACAAGCUUCCCAAUUGAUACCCUUUGAUGGCCCUUUCACAAGCUUCCCAAUCGAAAGCAAACAGAAAGGGCUAAAGCUACAAGGACUCAUCUCCUAGGAUUUUGGAUGCUACAUUACUGUAAUGAUGAGCAAGCUUUGUCAUGGUAGCCAAUUUUGGUUCUUUAUGUGAGCACUUGGUUGAAGUAAUUAAAGCCCCUACUUUAUUUGCUUACUCAUUGUCAUGAGUUUACUCAUUACUGCAUUAGCUCUAGAGAAUUUUGGUCACCUUCUGAUAUAGCAAAUUAUAAUGUCAGUACACACAUUGACUCCUCAAAUUGGAAGCUAACAAUACUUUACAAGGUUGAGGCAGUGGCUUGUGAUUAGAGUUUUGGAAUACAUCUCUAUCUAUUAAUAAGAGGAGUGGAAUGAAUAGCGUUUGUAUACUGUGGUCAUCUCUGAUUGGUUCAUAUGGACGGUUGUAACACACAUCCUCUCUGAAGGCCUUUUGUUUAGGAUCA